GACGAACGCUGGCGGCGUGCUUAACACAUGCAAGUCGAACGAAGAGCGAUGGAAGCUUGCUUCUAUCAAUCUUAGUGGCGAACGGGUGAGUAACGCGUAAUCAACCUGCCCUUCAGAGGGGACAACAGUUGGAAACGACUGCUAAUGCCGCAUACGAUCUGACCUCGGCAUCGAGGAUAGAUGAAAGGUGGCCUCUAUUUAUAAGCUAUCACUGAAGGAGGGGAUUGCGUCUGAUUAGCUAGUUGGAGGGGUAACGGCCCACCAAGGCGAUGAUCAGUAGCCGGUCUGAGAGGAUGAACGGCCACAUUGGGACUGAGACACGGCCCAGACUCCUACGGGAGGCAGCAGUGGGGAAUCUUCCGCAAUGGACGAAAGUCUGACGGAGCAACGCCGCGUGAGUGAUGACGGCCUUCGGGUUGUAAAGCUCUGUUAAUCGGGACGAAAGGCCUUCUUGCGAAUAGUUAGAAGGAUUGACGGUACCGGAAUAGAAAGCCACGGCUAACUACGCG
rnacentral:rRNA from 1 species